ensembl:lncRNA
UGCACACAUGAACUUUCAUGCUUUCUACUGGGUCUCUGCUUAAAACACAUACAUAGAACCUUCAUCUAGUUUCUGUUUCAUGGUUAUGGUUUGUUGAGUAUAAUUGUGUUUCCUCUACCUACACUAACUGAUUCCAGAAUUUUCCAAUGAAAUAAACAGUCACUAUUUCUUUGAAAUCAAAAGAGGGAGUGUCAAGUAGUUCCCGUUCGGCAACAUACCUUUAAAAAUGAAACCUAUAGAAGUAAAAGCGAAACUAAGAACCCGCAGUGGGCGAGGUGACACCUGGAGUAUAUAAAGGAGAUUGUGGCGUGUCACCUCAUCAUCUGUUUAAUUCAUCACCUGCACUGCAGCUCAUCCGGCCUGAUCAACACAGAACAAUCAUGGCAGCAGCAGCCUCAUCAAGAAGCAAAGGACGCCUGUUCUUCCUCCUCAGUCUGCUGUGUCUGGUUGGCCUCGCAAGUUCACGCAAAGACGACAUGAACCUGGACAAUUUCAAAGCACAAAUUCAGAAAGCGGAAGAAAACCUAAACCAGUUGAAGGCACAAAAGGACUUCUUAUCAACGCUCAUGAGUGAAACAAAGACCUUUACUGAACAGAGGAUGGCCGCUUUGGAGAAGUUUUUGUCAGAAGAAUCUGCUGACGAUGAUCUACCACUGAAAAACCUUUUUCAGAGCUUAUUGCAUUUAUCUGACUCAGCCAAGGCUUUUUUCGACAAGGAGAAUGAGGUGUCUGAUGCAGAAAUAACCAACAUGAAGCUAGAUCUGGAAAAGACUAAGCGACUUGUCCAAGCCCUUGAGGAGUACCACUCUGAAUUGUAAUGUUUAAGUCAGUCAAUGUCUCUCUUGCAUCUCUGAUAAUGAAUAUGCUGUAGUCUUUGGUCUUUCUUUUCUAUUGUGUUUCUUUGCACUGGUGUUUAAAUCAUGAAUUCCUUUUUCCUUCUUUAUCAUACAAUUUGUGAAGCAGAGAGAAUGUUGAUAAUAAAUCAACAUAAACACUGACAUGACAACAAUUAACCCAAAUGAUUUGUUUUGGUUUUUCUUUCAUUUGAAUUCUUGAGCAAUACUUCAAUACUCAAUCAUUUGACAUAGGCUGCAAACUUUAAAAAUGUUGAUUAUUAUUUAAUAAAUGUUCUGCCUAUUGAUUUUACAUCGCUGUAGAGUUAUAUGUUUUUAUAUACUACAUGCCUUCCUCAGAAAGAACGGCACACACCUGCUAGCCAAACACACAAACAGAAAAAAAGAAAUUAAAGAACAACGUCAGGGAAAGCAGCAUAUUCACAAACAUAAGGGCCAAUAAACCAAACCAUAACCGUUAUACUGUUGGUCUUGUGUAGCCAAAUGUCCGACGUGCACAGUAACAUGGAAACCUAAAGGUUCGCAAUUUCAAACCUAAAUUCAUGAAUUUACUCACUAAGCCACAAGAGUUUGUUCUUGUCUGAAAUAUUUUCUUUACAUUAGUCCAG